AGCACGUUAUGGUGGGCGACUCUAAGGAGACUGCCGGUGACAAACCGGAGGGAAGGUGGGGAGUGACGUCAAGUCAUCAUGGCCCUUACGGCCUGGGCUACACACGUGCUACAAUGGUCGGUACAAAGGGUUGCCAAGCCGCGAGGUGGAGCUAAUCCCAUAAAACCGAUCGUAGUCCGGAUCGCAGUCUGCAACUCGACUGCGUGAAGUCGGAAUCGCUAGUAAUCGUGAAUCAGAAUGUCACGGUGAAUACGUUCCCGGGCCUU
rnacentral:rRNA from 1 species